AGAUGGCAACGGAAAAAAAAGAGAGAGAAUGAUUGUGAAAUCAGAAAAUGCUUUGUUGUUGUCUAAAAAGGAGUAAUCUAUGCGACAAAAGGAUACAUUUUUUUAGGCGAUCUUGUUUGCGUUCGUAUGUAGUUUUGUUGUUUGUUUUUGUAAUGUUGGCUCCAUGUUUACAGUGUACACCCUGAUUGACUGACAGUGGAAUUGCCCGAAUAGCCACCGUUAGCAUUUUGGCUAACUAGCAAGCUAAGUUGUUUCGUGGAAAUCACUGCGUGGUGGUUGACUUUCAGUCCUGGGAGAGCAGUUGGGGCUAAGGAAGGCUAAGCCAAUCGCUGCUGGUUGGUGACUUGCUUGAAAAGCCAGCGUUGCACUGGAGCAGCCAGCUAGGGCCAUGAGCCAGGGCUUCCUCCUCCCUCUGUGGACCAGAGCCAAAAUGGAGAUUUAGCCCAGACAGACGCUGAGCAAGUGUUCAGUGCUGCGGGUCCUCUGCCUAGGCAUGGAGUGGUGUUGGCUGCAGACUGGAUGACAGGGUCUUCAGGGAGAGCCGACGCGCAUCCCCCUGCACAGACACCCAACCCCCUAACUGACCACCACUGAUCCGUUACCGCGGUGACACUGACACCGAAGUACAGCCUCACUCCUGCAACCACAGCAGAACCCCCACCCCCCCUCUUUUUCCUCGUCCCCCUCUAUCUGGACUCUCCUUACC